CAGGGAUGAUAUGAUUCUGGUGACGAUCUCUCUUCUCCUAAUCUGCAAUUACAUAUACCAGAACAUGCUCGUCAUAAAUACCAAAUUGGAAAGGGUGAUUUUGUUUUAGCUUUUGGGAUUUAUGAACGAGCAAAUGAGGGAACUUAUCGAGAAGCUUACCUCUCUUCGCGUCGGAGCUCAUACGCUUAAGUGACUUUCUGCUUCUGGCCUCUUGCCGCACAACCUCUUCCUCGGUCGCUCGAAUCUUACUUCUCCUCUCUCUUUAUCCACCCCGUACACAAGGCAUACCACACGAUGUUUUUCAGUUGCGCUGCAAAUUUGGCCCUCCUCUGCGGUGCGCGCCAAUCUUCGUCUUCUUCUUCUUCCUCUUCCUUCACCGCCGUCUCUCUUCUUCCCCCCUCUCACGGUCUCUGUUUCCCCUCGCUUCACCCCUAUUUUCCUCUAGGGUUUCUUCUGCCCGAAUGGGGUAGAGGGAAGGAAACUUAAAUACGGUGUUCCAGAACCGUCCGAUCUCCAGGACGAAUCUGAGCCAUCGGUUCCCUUGUUUCUUUUUAAAUUCCUAACUUUCCUUCUCUUUUUAACAUCCUUCCCUUCUUUAAAAAUAUUCCCAGUUUGAUCCUAUUUUCCUUCCUCUUUUUUUAUUUUUUUUAUUUUUUUAUUGGGAUGUUACAUAUACUGUCUAAAUUUCGCAGGUAUUGGUAAUCAUUUUUUUUCUUUUUAUAAUAAAUUAGAUUCUUAACCUAUAUCAUGUAUAGAAU
rnacentral:lncRNA from 1 species